GGCUUUGUAGUGGAAAAUAAGACGUUAGACUGCAAUUCUAAAGAUGUGAUUAAAUUACCUUAGCCU
rnacentral:tRNA from 1 species